AUUGAACGCUGGCGGCAGGCCUAACACAUGCAAGUCGAACGGUAACAGGAAGCAGCUUGCUGCUUCGCUGACGAGUGGCGGACGGGUGAGUAAUGUCUGGGAAACUGCCUGAUGGAGGGGGAUAACUACUGGAAACGGUAGCUAAUACCGCAUAACGUCGCAAGACCAAAGAGGGGGACCUUAGGGCCUCUUGCCAUCGGAUGUGCCCAGAUGGGAUUAGCUAGUAGGUGGGGUAACGGCUCACCUAGGCGACGAUCCCUAGCUGGUCUGAGAGGAUGACCAGCCACACUGGAACUGAGACACGGUCCAGACUCCUACGGGAGGCAGCAGUGGGGAAUAUUGCACAAUGGGCGCAAGCCUGAUGCAGCCAUGCCGCGUGUAUGAAGAAGGCCUUCGGGUUGUAAAGUACUUUCAGCGGGGAGGAAGGGAGUAAAGUUAAUACCUUUGCUCAUUGACGUUACCCGCAGAGGAAGCACCGGCUAACUCCGUG
rnacentral:rRNA from 1 species